rnacentral:tRNA from 14 species
CGCGGGGUAGAGCAGCUUGGUAGCUCGCGAGGCUCAUAACCUCGAGGUCACGGGUUCAAAUCCCGUCUCCGCAA